rnacentral:rRNA from 1 species
GACGAACGCUGGCGGCGUGCUUAACACAUGCAAGUCGUACGGUAAGGCCCUUUCGGGGGUACACGAGUGGCGAACGGGUGAGUAACACGUGAGUAACCUGCCCACAACUUUGGGAUAACGCUAGGAAACUGGUGCUAAUACUGGAUAUGUGCUCCUGCUGCAUGGUGGGGGUUGGAAAGCUCCGGCGGUUGUGGAUGGACUCGCGGCCUAUCAGCUUGUUGGUGGGGUAGUGGCCUACCAAGGCGGCGACGGUAGCCGGCCUGGGAGGGUGACCGGCCACAUUGGGACUGAGAUACGGCCCAGACUCCUACGGGAGGCAGCAGUGGGGAAUAUUGCACAAUGGGCGCAAGCCUGAUGCAGCAACGCCGCGUGCGGGAUGACGGCCUUCGGGUUGUAAACCGCUUUCAGCAGGGACGAAGCUUUUUGUGACGGUACCUGCAGAAGAAGCACCGGCUAACUACGUG